GUAGGUGAACCUGCGGAGGGAUCAUUAACACGUAUCCUACGUAUAUACCAACCGUGAACUUGUUCUCCUGCUUUGAUUGGUAAAGUUUUGAGUGAAGUUGGCGUGAUAAUCUGAGCUAACUUCUCUCUCUGAGUUUUACUCGGGACUUGCUGAUUAAGGCGUAUCUGUUUCCUUAUCACGAAACAAUUGUUUUAAUUUAUUAACUAUUUGUACUUCUUUUGUACUAAACACAUGCGACUUUAGUUUUUAACUAAACUACUGUUGUGUAAUUACGAAACGCUAAACAACUCUUAGCAACGGAUAUCUUGGUUCUG
rnacentral:misc_RNA from 1 species